rnacentral:rRNA from 1 species
AGCCCGGAGAUGGACACUGAGACAAGGGUCCAGGCCCUAAGGGGCGCAGCAACCGCGAAACCUCCACAAUGCACUCACGUGCGAUGGGGCUAUCUCGAGUGCCACCUGAUGAAGGUGGCUUUUCCUUGGUCUUCAAAGCCUUGGGAAUAAGAGGGGGGCAAGACUGGUGUCAGCCGCCGCGGUAACACCAGCCCCUCGAGUGGUGGGGAUGAUUAUUUGGCCUAAAGCGUCCGUAGCCGGCCGAGCAAGUCUUCCGUUAAAUCCAGCGUCUCAAGCGUUGGACCGCGGGAGAUACUACACGGCUAGAGAGUGGGAGAGGUCAGCGGUAUUCUGGGGGUAGGGGCGAAAUCCUUUGAUCCCCGGAGGACCACCAGUGGCGAAGGCUGCUGACUAGAACACGCCUGACGGUCAGGGACGAAAGCUGGGGUAGCGAACCGGAUUAGAUACCCGGGUAGUCCCAGCCGUAAACGAUGCAUGCUAGGUGUUGGGUUGGCCACGAGCCACCCCAGUGCCGCAGGGAAGCCGUUAAGCAUGCCGCCUGGGAAGUACGAUCGCAAGAUUGAAACUUAAAGGAAUUGGCGGGGGAGCACAAUCG